AUUCUGUUUGUACUCUACUCCAGAGGGUUCACGUGCUCGUUAAUUGACAGUUAUGUGGUGUUUUUUGGUGUGUUUCUCCUGUUUUCACUGAGUUUUCCUCAUCACAGGGGACCUAUAGAAUCAUUGCAUGUCGCCUACACGACAAUAUGAUGACAUCCGUCACGUUACCCUCAACUUCUGGUCCCUUACACGGCGGAUACUCCUCAGUAGCCGAGGAAACAACAAGCAGCGAGCCCGAGUUCGAAACACCUCGUCCAGUGAAGCGUUGUCUCGUAACACCACUGACCGAUUCAUGCAAGAAGCGGCGCAAACAAUCGACACCAGUCCGAAUUUCAGCAGCCGAAUCCGACGUUCAUACCGAAGGUAAGCCCAGUUCGACCUCCCCCGAGCCCGAGCUGCAGUGCCCUGUGUGCCAAUUAUUCUUCACGAGUCGUGAGCAGCUUCAAAGUCAUGUCGUAUCCGAGCAUUCUGCGCUCGAAUGCAAGAAAGAGCCGGAAGAAUUCGCGCUGAAUCCGCCAGAACGCGCCGAAAACGCGCACCAGGAGGUGCCAUGGAUGAACGAGCUGCAGGGCAAAGAGUGGAUCAACCCCGGUUUGCACGGCUUGCCCUUCAACCCAACGAAUCCGAUGUUCAUGACCUUACCUCAAUUCGCGCAACCCGAGAACAUGCCCAGACAACCGAUCCGAAUUUUCAACCCGGAUGCGUAUUGUGACUUGUGCAACAAGGAGUUCUGUAACAAAUAUUUUUUGAAGACUCACAAGGCCAACAAGCACGGCAUCUAUUCCGAUCCUCCCUCAUCAGAGCCUCUAGUGAAUAAUGUAAAUAUUGCUUCGUAUGCUGGAACGAUUAAACUCCCAACUUCCGUGCCAAGUGUAGAAAUAUCAGCCGUUAAAAGCGAAAAACCCGCCAAUAUUAUCAGUCCCUUCAACAACUUGUUCCCCAAUCCCUUCUCAAACAAGUCCUUCCCGCAGAAAAUCAAGCCGAACCUCCCCAACUUAUACGAAAGUGAAUCAAACGAAAAUGUUCCUAAUUCAAAUGGUUUCUCAUCAAACUGUGAAAGUGAUAAAGUAUCGCCAGAUGACCAACCAACUGAAGAAUCUUCUAGUCCUAGAAAUAUACAAACCGAAUCUACCUCAUUUCAAAAAGAUUCUGAAGGAGGAGUCUACUACAUUUCCCAAAGCAAAAUGUCUCCAGGCAACGAUAUCGAGAUAUCCAAUCGCCUCAAAAGAAUCGGUGUUAUGAAUCCUAAAGCAUUUUGUGAGAUUUGUUGCAAGGAAUAUUGCAAUAAAUAUUUCCUACGAACCCAUAAAAUGAAACGUCACGGUAUCUACAUACCUGACGAUAAAGAUAAAGACACUAAAGUCGAAGGAAGUGGCAAUUUUCCAUGGCAAAACAACAUGCAAACAAGUCCUCUGAACUUAAUAAUGACAGAACAAUCAAACCAAGAUCGUAAAACUACCUCGCCAUCUGACAUCAGUUGUGACAUAUGUGGAAUCAAAUUCCAAAACGCGAGUCUAUCGCAACUGCACAACGUCAGUGUCCAUUCGAAAAUUUACCCCAAAGAGGAGGAACACCAAGAGCAGCAAACCGAAGAAGCGAAGAAAGAAACGACCCAAGAAAAGCCAAUAAACGCGGAAGCCAUUAGCGAAGACCUGCAAAAACUGCAAACAAUGAUCUUACAAUUGAACGAGCUCGACGUCAGUAAAGUAUGCACGACUUGCAACGCCUGUAACAAAGAGUUUGAGAAUCGUUAUUUUUUACACGCCCACAUGAUGACAGAACACGGAAUAUUACUCGAAGACGUUACAGACGCUGAUAAACCUGUUGAGCCAGAAAACAGUUCUAAUAACAAUACCAUGUGCGAUUUGUGUGGGAAAGACGUUCAGAGUGUCGAAGAAAUGAAAAAGCACUUGCUUGAAUUCCAUCCUAAUCAGCAAACCAGCACCGAUAACGCCAAAGACGAGUUUAACGGAUUUAGCACUCCGGAAAAAAGCGUUAACAGGAUACCUGUAUCAAGUGCCGAGCGGCGAAUUAGCAUGAACGUGACACCGACCAGUAGUUAUUGCGACAUUUGCAAUAAAGAAUUGUGUAAUAAAUAUUUCAUGAAGACGCACAUGCAAAGAAUGCACGGCAUCGAGAUCGAAAACGGCGCGCAAAUUGGCGGUGUUAUUUGCGAUAUAUGCAAUAAGGAGUUGUGCAGUAAAUAUUUCCUCAGAGUUCACAAGCACAAUACUCACGGGAUUGUCGAAUACGGAACGAGUCUCCUCCAGCCGAGGAAGAGCGAAGGCGAGAGCGCUCACCUGCCGCCUGAACCGGAUCCGGCGCUGAAGCCUGCAGAUUUGGCCGAUUUGAGCCACCGCUACUUCACUCAUUUCACGGAAGUUUGCUCGAUUUGCAGCCGCCGUUUUCGCAGCACGAAGUGGCUGAAGGCCCACUUGCUGAGCGACCACGGCCAAGCCGGCGCCGAAAAGUGGUCGGAGUUGGAGCAGCAGCUCCAGCAGACCAUCGGCCAGCAUUCGAAAGGCGUCAAGAGCGAGCGUGGCAGUCCCACUCUCAAAAUCCCAAACGGCGGCCAAGAGCGCAAAGAACUCGGGAUCCAGAACGUCCUAUCGAGUCUGUUCGGGGUUGACGAAUCCAGUACAAAAACUUAUUCAUGUUCCUAUUGCCCUUUUACGACUCCUCUCCUUCCGCUACUGUUCGUGCAUGAGAGGUCCCACUCGAUGUCAUCGGACGGCGCCCCUCUGAAGUGCCCCGUGUGCGCCCAAAGCUUCCUGCAGCCAGAACUGUUGCAGCAUCACAUGUUUGCUCAACAUCCGUUUCUUCCCUUGCCGCCGUUCUUUAACGGGAACGAGAAUCCUGGCGAGACGUCCAAGGAGCCGUCCGACAACGCCGACGACGACGACGCCAAGACCAAGAAGAAGGGGAAGGGGAAGAGGGCCGAGCUGUCGCCGGAAGUCGGCCAGAGUCUGAAAGACGUCGCGAAACGGGCGCAAGUUCCUGCUGCAUAUGCGCUGCCUCAAGGGGGCGAGGAUGCGGGGUAUGUGAUGCAAGCGUUUUUGCUAGAGGAGGCUGCCCCCGAGAGGAGGCUCGUGCCGGCGGUGGUGUUCCUGCCGGUGUUCCAGAAGCAGCCCGCACCUCUCACCGUUACAUUCACUCUCACCCCGGCCUAAGCAGUUUCCUACACGUAGUUUGCAUAGAUGUGACAUAUUUUUUUAAGAAACUAUCGAUGGCGAUUCGACGACACCUGUGAUUUUUGAUUAAUUUUAUUUGAUUAUAUUGUAUAAUCUUAAAGUAUAUAUAAGCGUAUUCCUAUAUUUGCAAGAGGCCUCAUAUAUUAUGGGGAACAUAUGAGCACAUAUUUUUAUGCAAAUACCGGAAAGACUGAGUGAAAUUUUAUAUAGUCUGUUGAUUUUCACUUUAAAAUAUCGAGAUACUGAUGUUUUGUACGAUAGAAAGCUUUAGGUGAUGUUUAAAGAAGUUCCUAUUUUAUCUCUCGAUAUACUUAUUCGUUCACAAGUGUGUAUGUAUUGAGUUGUUAGAUGUAGCUUGCUCAACAGUCAGUUAACGUUCCGCAUUCCCAGUCCACGCAACUCAGGUUCAUGGUAAAAUUCAUCGAAACCGCCCCCGCCAGGCGGACCCCAAACCCAACACCCACACCUCCACCGACGUCUUACGUCCUACUCCAACCAAAAUUUAUACAAUUGCAAACACAACUAACGCUGUUUUCAUUUGGAGUUAUUUAAUAUUCGUGGGCUUAUUGCAAAACGUGACCAAAAAUUAAGCCUUUUCACAAAUCCUAUUUAGAAAAUCAGUGUUUUUUUCUACAAAAACACUUUUGGUGAUAAAUUACAUAAGACCAAGAGCUAAGUUUUGUACACCAAAUCUCCUCAAGAUUUCCUCUUUGAUAUUUAAUAAUAAUAUCCUCCUGAUUUUCUGAAGAUUUUGCAAUAUUUUUCCUAAUUUUUUUAAAUGAUUUUCUCUGCGUAUGUUUUGAAGUUUUCCGAAAAAGUCUGAUUUGGUCUCUUUUUGCACUAAGCUUAUGAUGUACUAGAUUCAGUGAAAUUAAAAUGGAAAAAAUAGGAAUGAAUUGCAAGUUGGGUAAUUCUGGUGGUGGUGAAAAUCGGGUGUGGGGUUGGGCCGCGUCCGCGGGGGUCCCCGGACAAGAGCAACUCAGGGUUAGCUGAAACGAGUACAAUCAGACCUCAAUGCGGCAUGACCGUUUUCCUGUCUCGAGUUCCUGACUAGUAGUAGGAUAUAUCACGUUCACAUGAUCACUUGUCUCCGCUGGGGGCGGCGGUCCCCGCGGACCGCCCCCUUUGCGGCCUAUAUCAGCAACGCGCCUCUGACCCGUCGUCUAUCCGUAUUUUUUAGUUCGUUGUUGAGUUCAAUCCCACGGCCGGGCGUCUUCCACGCUCCAUAUCCUCAUAAACUCCAGAUUAAAAUGUUGCCGGACGACGUGACGCCGAAUAACUACUGGACGCCAUACGUUGCCUCCGCAGUACAAUCAAUACCCUCAUAACUUUGUCAAUUAUGCCACUCUAACCUACACCCAACUAAAAUCAAACCAAACACACCCUACAAGACGGCCAGUCGAUCCGGUAGCAUCUCACGACGUCGUCUCAACCACCGCAAACAACACUCCCAAAUUUGACCAAAACACUAUUUCCAGCCCAAUAAAUGUCAAUUUACAAAAAAUGGCUCGCAAAAACAUGUUUACGCCACGCAGACGAAUAUUUUAAAAUCUCAUUCGUUAAAUUACCCCAAGGAACAACCAAAUACCGGGGGCUACGGAAAAAAACAACCCUCUUUCGCUCAGCAGCUUUUAUUUUCGAAAAUUACAAACAAUUCUUUUAAAAUCGAAACAACCUCAUUAACUUAAUAAGGAUUAUGCUUCAACUCUUCUGCUACACAAUGUUUUUUGAUUAGCACAUUUACGAAUCAAGUGUCAUUUAGUGAAUUAGAACGAAAGUAACAAUUUAUUGUAGAGACUUCAUCUAAAGUUGCUUACACUUUUUUAUAUUUUUUGUUGCUUAUUGCGUUUUGAAGAUAUGAGGAGUUAAACGGGGUUUGUUUUUCGGGCCACCGUUGUAGCGGUAAUAGGUAAUUUUUCUCAUGGUGGUCUAGACGGGGGUGUUGUGUUGGUUGGUGGUGUCCGAUUUCAACGGAAUCAUUCGUUAAAAGUGCGAAUUCGUUCGUUUCGGAAGCAUCAGGUGCCACUUUGAAUAGAUUUCCUUUGAAGCCGAUGUGGGCCUUUAACGUCGGCAUACAUUCCACCGGUAACUAACAUAUUGUUUGAAUUGUUGUAUAGUACAAACUGACUACCUUUGCUAAUUACUAGUUAUAAUACUAAGCUGUGUGCCUUGAGUAAUUGCAAAUGACCUGCUAUUUCAUAAUGUAACAGCCUGGGUGCUAUGAAAUAUUAUAUCUAUGUUUUUACAUUAUAAGGUACAAAAAUACAGAUGUUUUAUACCGAUGCACUGUCCGUAUUCAAAUUGGAUGUAAUUACAUUGAUAACGGCCGCUGCGCAGCAUAUAAAACGGCCAUUUCUGGUUUUAUGAGCGAAUGCAAAUGAUUGUGAUUUCUUUAGAAUUUUUUGUAGUAUUGUGCCCCGUCCCCAUUUCCUAAAUUUUGUAAACAUCUGCCUUGGCGCGUGGCCACCUCCCUUCAUCCUCCCCUCGCUAACCUUGACAAAACCCCUAAAAUAUAUUUUUUUUAUAAAUUUAUGCAUCUGUUCAAGUCGUAUGUACUAUGUAUUAUCCAUGCUCAAUCUGGCAGCGCGGUUUAAACCGGUCGCCAAUUAAACGUCGCCAAGAUGGCCUCCGGAGGGGAGGCAGAGCUAAUCGCGCGGUUUAAUUAGAAGAUAGCCGUUAUCGUUCCGCAAAAAUCAAUUUCUGCAAUUCUAUAGAAGAAAAAUUUGAAUACGGACACGUGGUAUCGAACAAUCGUGCUACUUGUGUAACAAUACGUGCAUAAUUUAUGUGCAAAACGCCAUAGAAAUGGAAGUGAGCCUUGAUAAAACACUAUUCGCACGUCAGUUGUUAUUUAGCAGGCGACCACGUAGAAAAGGCCUCACUUUUUAAAAACAAAACAUUGUAAGGUGUUCGAUUAGGAUUAAAUGAGCAAAAAAUCAAAAUCACGGCUCGUAGCUUGCGGAUGUUCCAUGUUAAUCAUAAGUUGUUCGUAGUAUAAUGUUCCAGAACUCCCAAGGUACGAAACGUGGCACAACUUCUUAUUCGUUAAAAAUACGGGUUCUAUAAUUGCGUUAUGCUAACUAUUCUUCUGUGUUAAAUCGGUUUUAUUACAAAUCGCGUUGGAGUUUUGCCUUAUUUUAAUAAUUAGAAUAUGUGUUACGCAUUUAGUGAUGCACACUGGCCUAAAAUCGUCCGCACUCUAGUCAGACACUAGUCAUUUUUUCGCAUUUCUCUCAUUUUCACCGAUUCUAGUCAUUAAUUUAGUAUUUAAAUUCGUUUCGUGACUUUUUAGGCACCAGUGUGUAUAAUUGCGUCUAAAUGUUUGGGCUACGCGAAAUCCCCACAAUAAUAGAAACCCCUAGCAACAAAAGGUUGCAGAAUGUUUUCGACGUUACAGAAAUUCUAUAAUUAUUGUCCUAUUGAUUUCCUAUCGUAUUCGUUUAUCUCUAGCACAUCUCAAACCACAGAAACCUUUGUCGCUUCAUUGGCGUAGAGCUUUAUAACUUCAUCUCCCGGGGCUGCUCGGGCCUUGAUGAUUUCAUUUUUAAUUUGAGUGUUUAUCGAGGAUCGUAUAAAUUCUGUUUUGCUUGAAAUUCCGAUAAUUCGCUAUUGUUUGCGGAUGCAAUAUUUGAGUGUGUUUUUAAUGAAAGUCGUAAAAGGAAAUUGGUAUUUUGUAAAACAGUUUUGCGCGAUGAAAAUAAUAAAGGUCCGGCGACUAUGGAUUUUGCCCUCGCUUGUUUGGUCAUUUAGCUGCCACCCCUGAUAAAAGAAAUGGGAUAAACCUAUAUUUUUCCAAAUCCACAUUUCAGUAAAUUUACGACUCACAUAUAAAGGCGCGGUUCCAGUGUGCGGAAAGCAACGUCAUACACUCGGAGAAACUUAAUGAAAUAGGCCGGCUUCCCAAUUAUGAAAUUGAAACCGUUGUAUUAUUAAAAGUUUUUCUCUCUUAUCUGGCGGAGAAUCAUUUUUAUAAUUCCUCUUUGUCAUCUCUAGUAUACGAAAUGAAAAAAGUGUAUUUCAGCCGGAAGCAGUUUCUUCUUCGAGGCUGGUAAUCUAAUUUACACAACACGCAUCGAGGUUUUCUCUGUCUUUUAUCUAUUUUAUAAAUUUAUCUUUUUCCUCCCUUAAUUUCUGAGAAUCACUCCAAUUUUCUUUGUGUCUUUACACAUUUUCCGUUUUUAUUUAUUUUCGGCUCUACCUCUUAAAUUGUUUUCCGCCGAAUUCAUAAAAACCUACUUUGUUUCGAUUUAUUCAUUUGCUGCGCGUAAUUAUCCCCCGAAUUAAUAUUGCAACGAAAUUUUCUAGCACGGAGGAUUAAAUAUUCACGACUAGACUUAAUGAAACCUAACGAUUCGUCUCGACACCCUUUUCGAAAUUACCGUAAAAUUUUCACAAGGAACGGUUUUAAAUUUUGAUAUCUCGCGUGAUUUAGGGGUGGCUGUUCGUUCUGAGGGCCGGCAGCUGGUGCAAUUCGCCGGAUUUUUAUUAAAAAAUGUGUAUUUGGCCAAGUUUUCGUUUAAUCCGUUGUUAUUGUGGCGACAGGCAGAUGUUCGGAAUGACAUCAAAAUAUGUAAUUAUUGUAAAAUGAGGGUCGUAUUUUACGUAAAAGGGGAAUUUCAACGUAAAAGGGUAGUUUGAUGACAAACAACAGGUUUAGCCGUGUGUUGAUUUCCAGAUUUGUGCAAAAUCGGGCAGCACGUGCGACCUUUUCUAUUAUUAUUAAAGCUGGCGCUCUUUUGUUGAAUCCUUCAAAAUUGUAACAGGAAGAUUAAAUUGAUUUUUCCCUCCGUUUAGGGUGAAAUUUCAAAUGCACAAAUAAAAUAAACACGGAUUUUAGGGACAAACGGGGUAAAAUUGGCAAGUUGCAGCCGUCCGUCCCAUUGUCACCGGAUUAUUCCUAUUCCUGAUUUUUCAAAACAAGAUAGAGUAGUCCAAACAUUUAGUCCUCAACGCCACACGACACAACAUACAGCACUUGCCUCAAUUCCGCCGAGUUGGAGGGCUUGAGGCGGUGAUUGUAUUGUGAUAGGUGAUCAAAGAAUAAGCGGGAGAGCCGCUGUGUCCGUCACUACCUCUAUAUCUUUCCGGUUUCCGGAUUUGGAUGACCACGGUGCAAACCGAGGAGUUCCUCUCAGCUUUAUAACAAAUUAACCUCAAUUUCCAUUAUCGCGAGCUCGUCGCGAAAAUGGAAAUCAAAUAGCGUAUACAUCUGGAGUAUGUGACUCUGCGCGAAUGUUGCUGAAAGGCGUGUUGUUAUAUUAUACUUAAAUCGGAGGCACAAAAUCAAAAUUAGUCUUAAGGAUGUUUAGGAUACCACAUAAGUUAUAGAAUGUUUUUGUAGAGUAUUUCACAUGAGAUUAUAUCUAUUUACAUUGGAGACUCAGAUAUAUAAAUUAUACAUAUAAAUAUAACUAUUUUCAUAUUAUUCUGCGUUUUAAAUAAGGCGCCCAAUGAAUGGUUUGGAAUAGAUUGUGUAAGUGUUUAUGCUUUAUCCUUUAUGUGUUAUGUCUGUGUAUAACGUAUCAACUAUUACUAUCUCCCAACUGCCAUCUUUCAUUUAUUCCAACUUCCUAUUACAAUAAAAUAGACCUGAGCCCGUUGUUGUUACAUAUUUUAUACGAGUUGCCCAACAAGAAUAGAACAAUAACAACGUCUCCAACUAUUUUGCAACAACUCAGAUCAGUAUUGUUAAAUUUUUGUUGAUGAAUCUGUCGUCGUUGCACAAUAAUUGAGACAAACGAUACUCUAUCGAAACGUCAAUCCCUAGCUGUAGCAACCCAUUGAUUGAUUUUUUUCACUUUUCAGUUCUAUUCUUGUCGUUGGAAAUAUUUAAUCAACUGUAACAAACGUUCCAAAUAUGUGCCCGUAGUUGAUCUAGUCUAAUCUAGUUUUUAUUUAAUCAUAAAAUACAAAGGGUGAUAUAAAUAAAUUUAUUAUAAAAACGGCGCAUGUUUCGACCGUUUAUUUAGUAACUUCUGUAGUGAACUUACACUUUUUACAUUUUCAUAUUCAGAAAUGAGUAUUAUUAAAAUGAAAUGUAUUGUACUUGCUAAGCAUACGGUUUAGUGGCAAAUAAUUAUGUAUUAUGGAUAGACCUAAGAAAAAAUAAAGAAAUAUUUGGAGAAACCUUUCAUUUCACUUCCCCACCCACCAAACUCACACAUUUUUUUCAAAGUUUCUUGCAAAAAAAAUGAUAAGAAAAAGUUGUUUAAGAAAGCGGGUGAAGCGUAUAACUGGUUGCAUACCCCGCGUUUUUACUCAAGACGCUGUGAUAAAAAAUUAACGCAACCCUCACUAAAUGAUUCUUCCACGUACGUCGUUAGGGCCCUAUUAAAUAUUAAAGCAAAGUUUUAAUGUAUUUUGGUAUUUUUAUAAAGACUUGGUAAUGCGAUAUUCGGACUACUUAGCUUAAGACCCUCCGAAUAAUUAAAUCAAUUACUGUGCCAUACGAUACAGUAACAAGUAAUGAUAUUUUUCAACAAUAAAUGAGGCGGAAUCAAUAAAUACGCAGGCAGAAGCAAUCAUUAAUUAUGCACAUUAAUAUUAAAUACUGGGGUAAAGCAAUGUUCCUGAAUCAAAUAAUUACAGCCUACGUAAGCGAGGAAAGACGACCAUUCACUAAUCAGAUCAAUUUUUAAUCGAGUAUUGGCCACGGUUGACAUUUUUAACACAAUCCCCAAAUUUGGACUUUGCUUCAGGAUGCGGUUCGAAAAGUACGCUUCUCUAAAUUAGAAAUUUAUUGCAAAAUACAAUCGUGAAUUAAUAAUAAUUCACUUGUGGAAAUACCUAAUUGUAAAUUAAGAUAAAAUUGAUUCCAUGUGUCUGAAUCUCAAUGUAUUAAAGAAUUCUUGAAAACAUUACAAACACAAUAACUGCGUAAAUUGCUGCAAGGUUUGACUUUAGACCCAAAAGGUAAGGUGGGUGCCCCUCGAGUGCAUACACCGGAUUAUUAUCGUGGCCACUGACGCAAAUUAAGAUUUUUUAGUUUGAUAACAUCAAACGGCAUUCGCAAUGAUAAGCUUCGUUCGAUUCCGCUUCGCAUUAAAAGUGUUAAUAUUUAAUUUUAUUGACUUUUGCGGUUGACAUAUUUUAGUUUCGUCAAGGAUAUAAAUAAAUAAAUUGAUUGAUGUUAUCAUUUUCUUGCCACGCCAACCCGAAAUCGCAAAUACUUUCACCACUCUGGAUUUGGAUGAAAAUGCGAUAAUUUUUUCUCAAAUUGGGAAAAACCAGUGAGAUGAGAGCCGAGUGACACUGAAAUAGCAGAUUUAAUCUUUUUGAAUGGUCGUCAAGGACUCAUUCACGUCGAAAAUUGAGCGCGUUUCUGAGAAGUGAAAUUACAAGAGACGUUUUGGACGGAAUUCAGCCUUUUCAUACUUCGGAUCCAUAAAAACGCAAAUCAACAAUGGUGGUGUAUCCGUACUCAGAGGACAAUCUCGAUCCGAAAAUAACGAUAAGUGUUUUGUCGGACAAAAUCCCGGAUAUGCC